rnacentral:rRNA from 1 species
GGCGGGACACGUGGUAUCCUGUCUGAAUAUGGGGGGACCAUCCUCCAAGGCUAAAUACUCCUGACUGACCGAUAGUGAACCAGUACCGUGAGGGAAAGGCGAAAAGAACCCCGGCGAGGGGAGUGAAAAAGAACCUGAAACCGUGUACGUACAAGCAGUGGGAGCACCCUUUUGGGUGUGACUGCGUACCUUUUGUAUAAUGGGUCAGCGACUUAUAUUCUGUAGCAAGGUUAACCGAAUAGGGGAGCCGGAGGGAAACCGAGUCUUAAUUGGGCGUUAAGUUGCAGGGUAUAGACCCGAAACCCGGUGAUCUAGCCAUGGGCAGGUUGAAGGUUGGGUAACACUAACUGGAGGACCGAACCGACUAAUGUUGAAAAAUUAGCGGAUGACCUGUGGCUGGGGGUGAAAGGCCAAUCAAACCGGGAGAUAGCUGGUUCUCCCCGAAAGCUAUUUAGGUAGCGCCUCGUGAAUUCAUCUCCGGGGGUAGAGCACUGUUUCGGCUAGGGGGCCAUCCCGGCUUACCAACCCGAUGCAAACUGCGAAUACCGGAGAAUGUUAUCACGGGAGACACACGGCGGGUGCUAACGUCCGUCGUGAAGAGGGAAACAACCCAGACCGCCAGCUAAGGUCCCAAAGUCAUGGUUAAGUGGGAAACGAUGUGGGAAGGCCCAGACAGCCAGGAUGUUGGCUUAGAAGCAGCCAUCAUUUAAAGAAAGCGUAAUAGCUCACUGGUCGAGUCGGCCUGCGCGGAAGAUGUAACGGGGCUAAACCAUG